GCCUCCAAAACCAAUCCCUUCAAACCACCAAAGCUAAUCUUCAACUGUUCAUCUUUGGAAGGAUCGAUGGUUCCAUGAGGUGUUAUAGCAAUUUCAGGUCUACCAAACAAUGCUUCUGUGUGCUUCUCGAUGAUGCCGACAGCCUCUUUGGAUCUUAUCGUUGCAUAUCUCUGAAGUGUCUCCCCGUCAAAGGCCAUGACGUAAUUGCGCAGUCUAGAAGCUUUU
rnacentral:misc_RNA from 1 species